ACAAAGGAUCCGCUUUGGGAAAGUCGUAUUCCUGGUUGCAAUGCUGGUAGUGCUGGACGGCUCCAACUACGACCAUCUAAGACCCUGACGUGUGGGUGCGGGGGCAGCCCCCAGCCAGGGAGGAGAGCGGGAAAGUCAAGGUGACCUCGGCUGCCACAGGUUGUCCCGUAGGCUUAGGGAGUGGACUGCAGCAGCCAAUGGGGUCCCAGAUGAAAGUACGCUCAUGAUUUGGCAACGCCCACUAGCAGUGAGCCCAUGAGGAUAAAAAGUCUGAUUGGAUGUUGUGAGAGCUGGCUCCUCUCACUCACCUGAUGUAUUGCGUUAUCUAGUAAGAAGAGACACUAUUAAGCAAAAUAUUUCAGGAUGGUAGACUAGACUGAUUCAGGAAGGGCUAUACACUAUGGUACAUUCCUCUACUACCAUGGUGGUUGGAUCUCUGGGUGGAGUCUAGUGGUGUGCUGCUGCUUCAAACUCUGACAUGUUUCAGGCCCUGGGGCAACGUUAUAGUCCCAUCUGAGGGAACUCUAAACUCUUAACAUGCACUCUUCCAACCAGAUGCUGCUUCAGUCUGGCAGAUCUAGACCCGGGGAUCUUGUCAAAUGUGAUUUGAGGAGGCUCACCCAAUAUGACUUUGCAUACAUUUUAAGCGUGUUCUUAGAAAAAGGGUAAUUGACAAUUAAUUGAAAAGUGACAGUUAUGAACAUAAGAUUGGAUUUGCUUGUUGUCUUUCUAUUUCACUCAUUUUGCCAGUGGAUCAUGUGUUUUGCUAACACAGAACAUGACAGCUAGUAUUGUAUAGGCAGGGUGUAUGGAGGCAUGUGUAUAAAUGACUUAUAAAACAGUUACAACCCCUUAACUAAAUCAUUGUGAUUCUUGCUAGUCUUAAACAAAUCUAUUUUGAAAAAAAGUAUAUACCUCACACACACAUUUAUGGGCUUAAAAAAAGAAGACACCUGUACCAUGUCAGAUAUAGAGUUGACAUGUUCGGGCAGCAUUUGGCGGUCGACGUCACUGGCUUUCUAGCUACUGCCGAUCCACUUUUCAUUUUCCAUUCGUUUUGUCUUUGUUUCACACACCUGUUGUCAAUCCCACAAUCACUUGUUCCUCAUUUAACCCUCUGUUCCCCACAUGUUUUUUGUGAGUGAUUGUUUAUUUGUAAUUUCGGUCCGUCUGUGUGUGCUCAAGAUGUUACUUUGUAUGUUUGUCUUUUUUGAGUAAAGCACGUUUAUUUACUCGUA